GUUUGGCAUGAGAUACAUGAGAAAAACAGAACUCAUGGCUCAUCACUGGUGGGAUCUAGUGAUUUCAAGAUCUGUGCAGAAAAUCUGUCCCACAAAGAAUAAUACAGGAAACUCACUGGAUGUGCAAAACAGAAACUCUUCUCAGUGGUUCCAAGGAGGACUUUAUUUGGGUUUUCCUUUCAAAAAGACAAUCACAAGCCAUCAGAAAGGGGACCAAGAGUGUGUAUAAAACUCUCUUCCCUGGAGGUCCAUCACUAAUGCUGGGAGAGUAUUCACUUCUGAAAAACAGCCAGCAGCUCUCCAAUAUUCCACACAGGAGCACAGAUGCGCUAACACUCUCUACAGAGAUUUUGAGAGCUUCCUCUGUUCAGGUGACAUCAACAAGGUGGGACUUGGUCAAGUUCCCUUCUCAGGACAUCAAAUUUUGGC